ACAGUAAUUGCUGAUGUAUUCAUGUAAUCAUUUUGAAUAACACAAGACAUAUAAACAAUUUCCAUCUAUAAAAACAAGCUUCUUGUUAUAAAAAUAUAAAAUAAUAUCAUCAUAAAGCUCUGAAAAAGCAAUCCAGAAAAAUGACUUGCAAUAAUCACACAGAUGGUAAGUUUCUGAGGUAAAUUUUUACCUUAAACUCAAUUAUCUCAACUUCUGUGACUUUUCUUGCAUGGCUAAUCCAAGAUUAAUAAUUUAAUUCCAAAUAAAGAUGAGCACGAUCAUUAAGAAUGUAAAUCUCUUACUGUACUUGAAUAUACUUAAACUAAACUGUAACACUGUGAUGCCCAAUGAAGAUUUCUUACAUUU